ensembl:lncRNA
AACCUCUCUGCCUUUCCUCCCCUUUUGAACCCACUGCCAAUUUUCACGCUGGGAACAGCCUCACCCCGCAGCCCCGGCCCCAAACGCUCCUCGGGCGCUGACAUCGAAAUCCUCCAGCGGUGCCCCCGCCGCCUCCAGCAACCAAACGAACAGACCGCGUCCCACCGCCCCCGACGGCCGCCCGGCAUCCCGCGGUCCGACCCCUCCUGCACGGCCGUGUUCUGCUCCGCUGGGAGAUAACCUGGGAUUCUCCUCGUUAUUUAUCGUGGCAGCUGCUUAAACUCCGCAGCGGAAGCUGCCCGAAGUUGUUAGCGUUACGCUUCGAUCUCUUUCGGAAAUGGUGGCUUUGAUUUCUGCGCUGCUUUGCAUUAGCGGAAUAUGAAAGGCACCCGGGUGAGCCACCAGCCCGGGCAAUUAGAACAGAAUCAUCCUAUCCUAGAUUACCCUGAGGUUCCAGGAGCACUGAGUCCAACUCCAGCAUGUUGGUGCUGUGCCCUGGGAAGCCCCUUCCAUGCCCACUGUCCUCUGGUGAAGAACCUUUCCCUAACCCCCAUCUGACCCUCCCCUGAUGCAGCUCCAUGUUGUCCCCUCUGGCCCUGUCGCUGUCUCCAGAGAGCUCAACUCCAGCUCUCCCUGCAGCCAUGAGGGGGCUGCAGGCUGCCACGAGGCCUCCCUUCAGCCCCUACUUCUCUGGGCUGAACGAACCAAAGGACCUCAGCCACUCCUCGUACAUUCUUCCCUCCAGGCCCUUCCCCAUAUCUGUACCCCUCCACUGGGCUUUCUGUGAUCGUUUUAUGUUCUUAUUUUGUGGUGCCCAAACGGCGCACGGUGAUCAAGGUGAGGCCACUCCGUGCAGAGCAGACCCACUCAGGGUCCAAAUCUGCUCCUGAUGUCACCACCUUAUUUUCACUACCAGGUGAAGCAGGGCGAAGCUCAUGUCGUAUGUACACAGGGCCACAUUCCUACUCAAGAGACACCUUGCCCACGUAGGUUAAAUUAAUAGCCACUUUGUUGGUUUUUUUUAACAUAUGUUUACCUAUUGCUUAAAUGUAUUCAUCCUUGAUCAUUUCUCCUUCUUUAUCCAUCCAUAGAACCUUUGCGUUUCUGCUUCAUCGUUUUGCAGUGCAGUGGAUAAGGAUUACCAUGUGGGUCACUCCAAAUUACUUUUGCUCUUUUUCUUCAUUCCCAUCGUUGUAGAAAAUGUUCCCACUGUGGUAUAGUUGUGUUCUGACAAAGUUGGUCAGUUUUCAGCUUUUCACAGAUAAGUUUUGGGAUUAUUCCUGUACUCUCUCUGCAAAAUGCAGUCUGUCAAGGAAGAUCUUUGGAAAGGUAAAUUUAUCUGU